ensembl:lncRNA
GCCCACCCGAGAAUGACCCUGUUUUGGUGGGUGGGAUGGGUGCCAUGGAGGAAGCCCACCCGAGAAUGACCCUGUUUAGGUGGGUGGGAUGGGUGCCAUGGAGGAAGCCCACCCGAGAAUGACCCUGUUUAGGUGGGUGGGAUGGGUGCCAUGGGAAGCCCACCCGAGAAUGACCCUGUUUUGGUGGGUGGGAUGGGUGCCAUGGAGGAAGCCCACCCGAGAAUGACCUUGCUUUCCCAUCAUCAUACAAAUGAAACUAUGUGCCGGUACAGCCCCUCUCCAUCUGUAUUUGGACAGUGAAGCAAUUAAAACAUUUUGUGGCUCUACACUCCAGCAUUUUGGAUUUGAGAUCAAAUGUUUCAUGAGGUAACAGUACAGAAUGUAACCUUUUAUUUGAGGGUAUUUUCAUACAUCUGAUUUAGUGUUAAUAAAUGAAAACACUUUAUAUAUCUAGUACCCCGAUUUGAAGAUGUCACAAGUAUUUGGACAAAUUUCACUUAGUGUAUUCAAGUUGGAGAAAGUUUAGUAUUUGGUCACAUAUUUCUUGCAUCGAUGCAUUUACAGCUUGUUUUGGUUGUGUUUCGGAUGAUGUUUUCUACAAUAGGAAGUGAAUGGUGAAUAAUGUAUCGUGUCAUUUAGGAAUGACUUUUGUCAACACUUUUACACGAAUGCGGGUGCUACCAUAAUUAUGGAUAAUCAUGAAUGAUGGGUGAAAAAGUUAGCAAGACAAUACUAAAGGAAUGACAA